UACAGAGGGUGCGAGCGUUAAUCGGAAUUACUGGGCGUAAAGCGCGCGUAGGCGGCUUUGCAAGUCGGGUGUGAAAUCCCCAGGCUUAACCUGGGAACUGCAUUCGAGACUGCAUUGCUAGAGUAUGGGAGAGGGAAGUGGAAUUUCCGGUGUAGCGGUGAAAUGCGUAGAUAUCGGAAGGAACAUCAGUGGCGAAAGCGACUUCCUGGACCAAUACUGACGCUCAUGUGCGAAAGCGUGGGGAGCAAAAAGG
rnacentral:rRNA from 1 species